UUUUUAUAACGCCAUCUUGUUGUUUCUUUAAAGCGGUUAGUUGCCCUCAAUUAAGAAAAAUAGUAUUGUUAUUCGCCAAUAGAUGUCGGGAAGAGUUGAUUAUUGAAAACAUGAAUAAAACAACAUUUUCUGAAAAUAAAUCGUAGCUAGAUCGAUUUAUCGCCCCCGAAAUCCCCUGUAUACUAAAUUUUAUGAAAAUCGUUGGAGCCGUUUCCGAGAUUCAGAUAUGUAUAUGUCGCAUCCGGGUCAAUAGUUCGGAAUAUCAACGAUACACAAACGUCAAAGUGACAGAAUGGCCGUGUCGUGGUUGACGACUUUUAGUAAUAUUAAGACGGUGGUUUUGAUUAUUAUUUUAAAUGAUGAAAUGUUGUUUUGAUAAAUAUCACAAAAUGAAGGGUAGACUCCGUAACGCCACAGUUAUAAAAUGGCGGUACGUGGACAGAGUCGUGGCAUUCCGUGUCAGACAGUCAUUCCGUCCGUCUCAGUCAGUGAGUCUCUGGCAGUCAGUCAGUCGGUUUGUCGGUAUGUGCAACGAAACUGUCGGUUUACCCUGUCAUUGUGAAAGUUGUGUGUGUGUUGAGUUGCAAUAAUUAUUAUUCAAAAAGCUUUAUUGACUAAACUGAGUUCAAUCGAAUACGAGUGAUAACGGAACCUACCGCUCAACUCUCACUGGCGCCCCGCGCUGCCGACAUAUAUAUUGAUAUACAAGAAUUGCUCGUUUAAAGGGGAAAGUGGGGGAAACGCGAACGCUGGGUAAUGCCGAAUUCAAUGGUUCUAAUAUGUUAGAAAGAUAUAUCCUAAUUUUAUUUGCCGCCAUUUCGGAGAUCACGCCACCACUGAUGCCAGUCAAUAACACGGGAGAUGCGGACGCAUGUACUUAAAAAGAUGCCUUGUACUUACAAAAGAAAGACCGAACUGAAGUAUAGCUUAGAAGAUCUCAAAAAGGCUAUAGACGAUGUUAAAACCAAAAACUCUCCCUGCGUAAAGCAGCAGAAACAUAUAAUGUUCCAAAAACCACUAAUUUUGACCAUCUAAUGAAAGAAGUGUUAAUACAGCCAUGGUUGGAUGAAAACCUUUAUUUACAGACGAUCAGGAAACGUAAGAAAUCAAGAAGAAAACGGAAAGAUGGCAAAAAAGGAACCCAAAUAAAAAGACUGAAAUGUAAUGAGAGAACACCUUCAAACAAGAACUAUCAAAUAUUAUUAAAGAAUUUGAACAAUAUAAAAAAUAAUUUAGUGACUAGUCAAAAUACGAAAAAAAAAGAAAAAGGCGAAAAAGAAAAUAAAGACUGCUUUUGUAUUUUUUGUAGAGAUAAAUAUAUUGAUCCUCCCGUUGAAGACUAGAUUGUGUGCUAGGUGUGCGAAAAAUGGGCUCACGACAGUUGUACUGACGGACAGUCAACAUCGUUGGGUUUUAAAUGUGAUCUAUGUCGUUAAUAAUGUUGGUUCGUAAUCACCCCACUUGGUGUUCGUAUUUACCCGACUGAUGUCCGGCAAAGCCGAACACUAAGGGUUUUGUUUUUCUUUCAUAUUGUUGUAGUUUAUUAAAAAAAUAUAAAUGAUGAUUAGUGAAUAAGUUAGACAGAUAAGUAAACUUUAUAACAAAAAAAAUUAAAAAAAUCUGUGAUUAAA